rnacentral:rRNA from 1 species
UACGUAGGUGGCGAGCGUUGUCCGGAUUUACUGAGCGUAAAGAGCGCGCAGGCGGCUGGUCAAGUCCGAUGUGAAAGCUCCCGGCUUAACUGGGAAAUUGCAUCGGAAACUGAUCGGCUGGAAGGUGGGAGAGGGUAGCGGAAUUCCCGGUGUAGUGGUGAAAUGCGUAGAUAUCGGGAGGAACACCAGUGGCGAAGGCGGUCUGCUGGGCAGUUGCUGACACUGAUGCGCGACAGCGUGGGGAGCAAACAGG